rnacentral:lncRNA from 1 species
CCCAUGGCCGCCGCAUCUCGUCGUCGAGUUCUUCGUGUUCGGCCACCCCCCGCGCUCCCUGACCAUGUCCACAAGCUCCGCGGUGAGCUCCUCUGUCGAUUCCCCUCCUUUCCCCCUUUGAUGCGUCGCCAUAGUCGUCGCCUUAUGCUCGUCCAUGGCCGUACCCGUGCUGUACGCGCCCUGCUGCCUGCUUGCGCCGUGCUCACCGUGCCCGCGACCCACGCCCCGGCCGCCCCGUGCGCGCCCCGGCCGAGCCCACACGCACGCUCGGCCGCCCCAGACCGCGCCCUCGCCUGAGCUCCCGUGCCGCAACUGCUCUGUUGCUUGCAGCCACAGCAGCUCCGCUGCCUUGCUGCUCCCGGUCGCUGCUUCUCGUACUGAUGCUGUUGCCCGCUGUGCACUACUACUACUCGCGUGCCGCUACGCUGCUCCUCUGCCAAUGCCUUGCUGCUACUUAGCUGCCGCUACUACUCUUACUUCUGCUGCUGCUCAUUGCUUUGCUAUGGCCGUGGUGUUGUGCAGUGUAGUGUGUGUGUGCGUGAGUGUGUGUUCUGUGUGUGUGGCCGGCCCAAAUACUAGUUUAGGGACUAGUUUAGUUAGUUAGUCUAAUUAGUAUUACUAGUUAAUUAGGCCAAUAGUAGAUGACAUGUGGACCCAUGGUUAGUUUAAAGAAAAAUAAAUUUUCAGAAAAGUCUAAGUCAAUGACAUGUGGCCCCCACACUGUUCCUAUGUUGACUAGUCAACAUUUGACUGGGUCAACCCAACCCCACUGGUCCCACUGUCAUACACUACAGCUAGAAUAGCACUAGGUGACAAAAGUAUUUUGCUGUUUUAUUUUCGAAUUAAAAGAAUUCUUUAAAUAUAGAAAAUCAUUUUAAACUUUGUAAAUUCAUAUACAAUAAUCCGUAACUCGGAUAAAAAUAAUUUAUAUACGAAAGUUGCUUAGAAAAAUCCAAUGAAUCCGGAUACGCGGUCCGUUCAUCUGUCACAUGCCCCUAGCAUACUGAAGAUGGAACCGUCCCCUCUCUUUUCAUCUAUCCGGAAAACUUCAAACACCGGGAAAACCCCUCCGGAUGUUUUCCCUCUCUGUCUGUAGCGUCUAGCACUGCGUUAGUUCACCCCUAACACCGUGCAUUACCAUGUUAUGCUUUAUGAUGCUUUGUUUGCUUUAUAUUUAUUGUUUCUUCCCCCUCUUCUCUCCGGUAGACCCCGAGACCGAGGCAAGCCCUGUGAUUGACUACGUCGACGACGACACUUCUUCCUUUCCAGCAGAGCUUCCAGGCAAGCCCCCCCUUUGAUCAUCCUGAUAUCGCCCAUUCCAUUAUCUCAUGCUUGCAUUAGAUUUUACUACCCUUAUUGUUUGCUCCUAUUUUGAUGCAUAGCCUGCUUUUGUAACCUGCUUAUUGUUACCUUACUUGCUUAUCCUAAACUGCUUAGUAUAGGUUGGUUAGUGAUCCAUCAGUGACCCCCACCUUGUCCUUGUUUCCCCUGCUUCAUCAUCGAU